CGCGAUCACGAAGCCCUGACGAGUAGGAGGGUCGCGGCGGUGAGCGCAGAAGGGCUGGCCGCGAGGCCGUCUGGAGCCGCCGUCGGUGCAGAUCUUGGUGGUAGUAGCAAAUACUCCAGCGAGGCCCUGGAGGACUGACGUGGAGAAGGGUUUCGUGUGAACAGCCGUUGCACACGAGUCAGUCGAUCCUAAGCCCUAGGCGAAAGCCGAUGUCGAUGCGGUGUAGAUUUAUAUCGAUAUAUCGCGUAGUAGCAGCAGCGAGUACUAUAUAAAUUCGCGCGCGCGUACGCGUACGUAUAAAUUUUCGUACACACCCGUCGGGCGAAAGGGAAUCCGGUUCCUAUUCCGGAACCUGGCAGCG
rnacentral:rRNA from 1 species